rnacentral:rRNA from 1 species
UCUGUACCCUCUGUCUACAAGUACCCCUUGUUGUUUCCUCGGCAGGCCUGCCUGCCGCAGGAAACCCCAUAAACCCCUGUAUCUCAAGUAUUGUAAAACUCCGAUAAACCACUUAAUUAUCACAACUUUCAACAAUGGAUCUCUUGGUUCUGGCAUCGAUGAAGAACGCAGCGAAAAUGCGAAAAGUAGUGUGAAUUGCAGAAUUCCGUGAAUCAUCGAAUCUUUGAACGCACAUUGCGCCCCUCGGUAUUCCGGGGGGCAUGCCUGUUCGAGCGUCAUUUACACCCUCAAGCUCUGCUUGGUGUUGGCGUCUGUCCCGCCUCCGCGCGUGGACUCGCCCUAAAGUUAUUGGCAGCGGUCGUGCCAGCUUCUCGUGCAGCACAUUGCGCUUCUUGAAGCCCUGGCGGAUCGGCGUCCAGCAAGCCUCUCAUAAUUGACCUCGAUCAGGUAGGGAUACCCGCUGAACUUAGCAUAUCAUAAGCGGAGAAAGUUCCGAAGAUUAUCCUGUGAAAGUUCACCGCACAAGUUCAUCGAUUACUGAUAAACUUCCCCCGCUUACCGUGGAAGUGC